UACGUAGGGUGCGAGCGUUGUCCGGAAUUACUGGGCGUAAAGAGCUCGUAGGUGGUUUGUCGCGUUUGUCCGUGAAAACUCACAACUCAAUUGUGGGCGUGCGGGCGAUACGGGCAGACUGGAGUACUGCAGGGGAGACUGGAAUUCCUGGUGUAGCGGUGAAAUGCGCAGAUAUCAGGAGGAACACCCGUAGCGAAGGCGGCACUCUGGGCCGAUUCUGACACUGAGGAGCGAAAGCGUGGGGAGCGAACAG
rnacentral:rRNA from 1 species